ensembl:lncRNA
GGCCUCUACAGCCAUCUGAAGACCAACCAGGAUCGGUCUCUACAGCCAUCUGAAGACCCACCUGGAUCGGCCUCUACAGCCAUCUGAAGACCACAUGGAUCGGCCUCUACAGCCAUCUGAAGACCACAUGGAUCGGCCUCUACAGCCAUCUGAAGACCACAUGGAUCGGCCUCUACAGCCAUCUGAAGACCACAUGGAGGACAAUCAUACUGGACUAGAGUGAUCGCCGAUGAUGAUGAUGGUAAAAUAAUGGUAAACUGAAUGUUAAGUUGGUUAAGUAAAGUUCAUAAGUUUACCUGCUAGCGUGAUAAAGUGAUGGUAAAGUAAUGGUAAAGUGAUGGUAAAGUGAUGGUUAAAGUGAUGGUGAAGUGACGGUUAAAGUGAUGGUUAAAGUGGUGGUAAAGUGAUGGUUAAAGUGAUGGUGAAGAAAUGGUUAAAGUGAUGGUGAAGUGAUGGUUAAAGUGAUGGUAAAGUGAUGGUUAAAGUGAUGGUGAAGUGAUGGUUAAAGUGAUGGUUAAAGUGAUGGUUAAAGUGAUGGUUAAAGUGAUGGUUAAAGUGAUGGUGAAGUGAUGGUUAAAGUGAUGGGAAAGUGAUAGUUAAAGUGAUGGUAAAGUGAUGGUUAAGUGAUGGUUAAAGUGAUGGUCAAGUGAAGGUUAAAGUGAUGGUAAAGUGAUGGUUAAAGUGAUGGUCAAGUGAAGGUCAAGUGAUGGUUAAAGUGAUGGUUAAAGUGAUGGUAAAGUGAUGGUUAAGUGAUGGUUAAAGUGAUGGUAAAGUGAUUGUCAAGUGAAGGUUAAAGUGAUGGUUAAAGUGAUGGUUGAAGUGAUGGUUAAAGUGAUGGUGAAGUGAUGGUUAAAGUGAUGGUUAAAGUGAUGGUGAAGUGAUGGUUAAAGUGAUGGUUAAAGUGAUGGUGAAGUGAUGGUUAAAGUGAUGGGAAAGUGAUAGUUAAAGUGAUGGUAAAGUGAUGGUUAAGUGAUGGUUAAAGUGAUGGUCAAGUGAAGGUCAAGUGAUGGUUAAAGUGAUGGUUAAAGUGAUGGUAAAGUGAUGGUAAAGUGAUUGUCA